rnacentral:rRNA from 1 species
GACGAACGCUGGCGGCGUGCCUAAUACAUGCAAGUAGAACGCUGAAGAGAGGAGCUUACUCUUCUUGGAUGAGUUGCGAACGGGUGAGUAACGCGUAGGUAACCUGCCUUGUAGCGGGGGAUAACUAUUGGAAACGAUAGCUAAUACCGCAUAACAAUGGAUGACACAUGUCAUUUAUUUGAAAGGGGCAAUUGCUCCACUACAAGAUGGACCUGCGUUGUAUUAGCUAGUAGGUGAGGUAAUGGCUCACCUAGGCGACGAUACAUAGCCGACCUGAGAGGGUGAUCGGCCACACUGGGACUGAGACACGGCCCAGACUCCUACGGGAGGCAGCAGUAGGGAAUCUUCGGCAAUGGGGGCAACCCUGACCGAGCAACGCCGCGUGAGUGAAGAAGGUUUUCGGAUCGUAAAGCUCUGUUGUAAGUCAAGAACGGGUGUGAGAGAGAAAGUUCACACUGUGACGGUAGCUUACCAGAAAGGGACGGCUAACUACGUG